rnacentral:rRNA from 1 species
UCAGUAUUCAAUUGUCAGAGGUGAAAUUCUUGGAUUUAUUGAAGACUAACUAGCGAAAGCAUUUGCCAAGGAUGUUUUCAUUAAUCAGGAACGAAAGUUAGGGGAUCGAAGACGAUCAGAUACCGUCGUAGUCUUAACCAUAAACUAUGCCGACUAGGGAUCGGACGGUGUUAUUUUUUGACCCGUUCGGCACCUUACGAGAAAUCAAAGUGCUUGGGCUCCAGGGGGAGUAUGGUCGCAAGGCUGAAACUUAAAGAAAUUGACGGAAGGGCACCACCAGGGGUGGAGCCUGCGGCUUAAUUUGACUCAA